rnacentral:rRNA from 1 species
UACGUAGGGUGCGAGCGUUAAUCGGAAUUACUGGGCGUAAAGGCGUGCGCAGGGCGGUUCGUUGUGUCGGCGGUGAAAGCCCCGGGCUUAACCUGGGAAUGGCCGUCGAAACUGGCGAACUGGAGUGUGGCAGAGGGGGGUGGAAUUCCGCGUGUAGCAGUGAAAUGCGUAGAGAUGCGGAGGAACACCGAUGGCGAAGGCAGCCCCCUGGGCUGACACUGACGCUCAGGCACGAAAGCGUGGGGAGCAAACAGG